rnacentral:rRNA from 2 species
UCGAGAAUUUUUCUCAAUGGGCGAAAGCCUGAAGGAGCGACGCCGCGUGGAGGAUGAAGGCUUUCGGGUUGUAAACUCCUGUCAUUUGAGAACAAGUUGGACGCAGUAACUACGCGUCCAUUGAUAGUAUCAGAAGAGGAAGGGACGGCUAACUCUGUGCCAGCAGCCGCGGUAAUACAGAGGUCCCAAGCGUUGUUCGGAUUCAUUGGGCGUAAAGGGUGCGUAGGUGGCGCCGUAAGUGGGGUGUGAAAUUUCGGAGCUUAACUCCGAAACUGCAUUCCAUACUGCGGUGCUUGAGGACUGGAGAGGAGACUGGAAUUUACGGUGUAGCAGUGAAAUGCGUAGAGAUCGUAAGGAAGACCAGUGGCGAAGGCGGGUCUCUGGACAGUUCCUGACACUGAGGCACGAAGGCCAGGGGAGCAAACG